AGAUAGAAUUCCUUCGGGCUUCUGCAAGGUGCUGCAUGGUUGUCGUCAGCUCGUGCCGUGAGGUGUCGGGUUAAGUCCCAUAACGAGCGCAACCCUUAUCGUUAGUUGCCAUCUGGUAAUGCAGGGGACUCUAGCGAAACUGCCACCGUAAGGUGAGAGGAAGUGGGGAUGACGUCAAAUCAGCACGGCCCUUAUGUCCAGGGCUACACACGUGUUACAAUGGCCAGUACAAAGGGCAGCUACCUGGUGACAGGAUGCUAAUCUCCAAAACUGGUCUCAGUUCGGAUCGAAGUCUGCAACUCGACUUCGUGAAGUUGGAUUCGCUAGUAAUCGCGCAUCAGCAACGGCCGCGGUCGAAUACGUUCCGGGCCUU
rnacentral:rRNA from 1 species